ensembl:lncRNA
UGAUAAUCUCCGCUCUAAAUUUCGAUUCUCUGAAACCGAAACUACAGCCCCAGUGAUGUCAGUAACCGUAUCACGUCUGACAAAGACGAUACUACUGUGUCGAUCUUUGAUUUUUGAGGUUAUGCGGUAGCGGCGGGCUUACGGACCAGAAUUUAGAAAAAAACUUCAACCGACUACGUAGGCUACCGAAUCGUUGACUUGGCUUUGGAAAGAUAAGAAGGAAUGUCCGAAAAUCGCAAGAGAUCACGAGGAAAUCGAAGCCCUAGUCCUCCGGACACAACUCGGAAAAAGAAGAGACGUAGAGCCUCAGUUGGAACAGCCCGUAAGUAAUUUGCAUUUUGGUGGUCAGCUGACCUGAAUUUUUUUGUCGCCAUUGUGCUUGCUCCGAGUUUCGAUUCUCUGAAACCGAUACUAUAGCCUCAUAGUGAUUUCAGUGACAGUAUGCUACGUCUGAUCAAUACAGUAGGAUUGUGUCAGGCCCUGAAUUACUAUAAUUACUAGAACUAGAAAAACAUUUAGGAAGGCCAAAAAACGUUCAUCAGAGAGAUUCAGAUGGAUGAUGUUAUCAGGUGGUUUAAUAAAUGUAUGUAUGUGUUUAUAUAUAUAUAUUUAUAUCUCUGUUAUAUGUGUUAAGAAGGAAUGCCCGCAUAUCCACCUCCACCUCAAAGUCCUCCAACUCGGUAUGGAGGUAUCGAUGCCCAAUCUGAUGAUGGGUUUUGUCAAUGGAAGAAGCGCUACCUCCGCUACCAUCGGCAGGGGGAAGCAGGGAAGCAAGAAGUUAUCUCCAUUCUUCAGGAAAACCACAUGACAUCAGA